UAAGGAAUAUUGGUCAAUGGACGCAAGUCUGAACCAGCCAUGCCGCGUGAAGGAUGAAGGUCCUCUGGAUUGUAAACUUCUUUUAUCUGGGACGAAAACGGGAUUUUUAUCUCAAUUGACGGUACCAGAGGAAUAAGCACCGGCUAACUCCGUGCCAGCAGCCGCGGUAAUACGGAGGGUGCGAGCGUUAUCCGGAUUUACUGGGUUUAAAGGGUGCGUAGGUGGGCUUAUAAGUCAGUGGUGAAAUCUCCGAGCUUAACUUGGAAACUGCCGUUGAUACUAUAGGUCUUGAAUUAUCUGGAGGUAAGCGGAAUAUGUCAUGUAGCGGUGAGAUGCUUAGAUGUGACAUAGAACACCAAUUGCGAAGGCAGCUUACUACAUAUAAAUUGACGCUGAGGCACGAAAGCGUGGGGAUCAAACA
rnacentral:rRNA from 1 species